AGUUAAAGGAAGUUGUUUGUUGAUUUGCAAUCAAUUGAGAUGGUUAUCCAUAUGAA
rnacentral:tRNA from 1 species